AGAGUUUGAUCCUGGCUCAGGAUGAACGCUAGCGACAGGCUUAACACAUGCAAGUCGAGGGGCAGCGGGGAGCGAAGCUUGCUUUGCUCCGCCGGCGACCGGCGCACGGGUGAGUAACACGUAUGCGACCUGCCCUUUACAGAGGGAUAAUCGGGAGAAAUUCCGUCUAAUACCUCAUAAUACAUACCGACCGCAUGAUCGGUAUGUCAAAGGAGCGAUCCGGUAAAGGAUGGGCAUGCGGCGCAUUAGGUAGUUGGUGGUGUAACGGACCACCAAGCCGACGAUGCGUAGGGGUUCUGAGAGGAAGGUCCCCCACACUGGUACUGAGACACGGACCAGACUCCUACGGGAGGCAGCAGUGAGGAAUAUUGGUCAAUGGGCGAGAGCCUGAACCAGCCAAGUCGCGUGAGGGAAGACGGUCCUACGGAUUGUAAACCUCUUUUGCCGGGGAGCAAGAAAGCCCACGUGUGGGCUACUGAGAGUACCCGGAGAAAAAGCAUCGGCUAACUCCGUGCCAGCAGCCGCGGUAAUACGGAGGAUGCGAGCGUUAUCCGGAUUUAUUGGGUUUAAAGGGUGCGCAGGCGGAACGGAAAGUCAGCGGUAAAAUUGCGGGGCUCAACCCCGUCGAGCCGUUGAAACUGUCGUUCUAGAGUGGGCGAGAAGUAUGCGGAAUGCGUGGUGUAGCGGUGAAAUGCAUAGAUAUCACGCAGAACUCCGAUUGCGAAGGCAGCAUACCGGCGCCCGACUGACGCUCAGGCACGAAAGCGUGGGUAUCGAACAGGAUUAGAUACCCUGGUAGUCCACGCAGUAAACGAUGAAUACUAAUUGUCCGGCCCGAGUGAGGGCUGGGUGAUACAGCGAAAGCGUUAAGUAUUCCACCUGGGGAGUACGCCGGCAACGGUGAAACUCAAAGGAAUUGAC
rnacentral:rRNA from 1 species